rnacentral:rRNA from 1 species
UGCAUAGGAAUCUGCCUAGUAGUAUGAGAUACCCACUAGAAAUGGUGGGUAAUACUGUAUAAUCCCUGCGGGGGAAAGAUUUAUCGCUAUUAGAUGAGCGUAUGUCAGAUUAGCUAGUUGGUGGGGUAAUGGCCUACCAAGGCGGUGAUCUGUAGCUGGUCUGAGAGGAUGAUCAGCCACACUGGAACUGAGACACGGUCCAGACUCCUACGGGAGGCAGCAGUGGGGAAUAUUGGACAAUGGGCGCAAGCCUGAUCCAGCUAUGCCGCGUGAGUGAGGAAGGCCUUAGGGUUGUAAAACUCUUUCAGUAGGGAAGAUAAUGACGGUACCUACAGAAGAAGUCCCGGCAAACUCCGUGCCAGCAGCCGCGGUAAUACGGAGGGGGCAAGCGUUGUUCGGAAUUAUUGGGCGUAAAGGGCAUGUAGGCGGUUUGGUAAGUUAAAGGUGAAAUACCAGGGCUUAACCCUGGGGCUGCUUUUAAUACUGCAGGACUAGAGUCCGGAAGAGGAUAGCGGAAUUCCUAGUGUAGAGGUGAAAUUCGUAGAUAAU